rnacentral:rRNA from 1 species
CCGCCGGCGACCGGCGCACGGGUGAGUAACACGUAUGCAACCUGGCCGUGACAGAUGGAUAACCGGGAGAAAUCCCGCCUAAUACAACAUAAUGCCGGGAGGGGACAUCCCCUGCCGGCCAAAGGGGGCGACCCCGGUCACGGAUGGGCAUGCGGCGCAUUAGGUAGUUGGUGGGGCAACGGCCCACCAAGCCGACGAUGCGUAGGGGUUCUGAGAGGAAGGUCCCCACAUUGGAACUGAGACACGGUCCAAACUCCUACGGAAGGCAGCAG